GUGUGUCUCUUGGGGAUGUCCUGUGCAAGGCUAAGAGUUGGAUUCAAUGAUCCUUGUGGGUCCCUUCCAACUCAGCAUUUUCUGUGAUUCUGUGA